rnacentral:ncRNA from 2 species
CAACGUCUCUGGGGGUGGUUCUUAUCAUAAGAACCUGAGAUUAUACCCUUUGAACCUGAUCCGGGUAAUGCCGGCGAAGGGAAUCGGCCAUAUCUCUAC